rnacentral:rRNA from 1 species
GAUGAACGCUGGCGGCGUGCCUAAUACAUGCAAGUCGAGCGAACGGACGAGAAGCUUGCUUUUCUGAUGUUAGCGGCGGACGGGUGAGUAACACGUGGAUAACCUACCUAUAAGACUGGGAUAACUUCGGGAAACCGGAGCUAAUACCGGAUAAUAUUUUGAACCGCAUGGUUCAAAAGUGAAAGACGGUCUUGCUUUCACUUAUAGAUGGAUCCGCGCUGCAUUAGCUAGUUGGUAAGGUAACGGCUUACCAAGGCAACGAUGCCUAGCCGACCUGAGAGGGUGAUCGGCCACACUGGAACUGAGACACGGUCCAGACUCCUACGGGAGGCAGCAGUAGGGAAUCUUCCGCAAUGGGCGAAAGCCUGACGGAGCAACGCCGCGUGAGUGAUGAAGGUCUUCGGAUCGUAAAACUCUGUUAUUAGGGAAGAACAUAUGUGUAAGUAACUGUGCACAUCUUGACGGUACCUAAUCAGAAAGCCACGGCUAACUACGUG